rnacentral:rRNA from 1 species
GACGAGCCUCACAAACGUUAUUCGGAAUUACUGGGCUUAAAGGGUGCGUAGGCGGCGUGGAAAGUUGGGUGUGAAAUCCCUCGGCUCAACCGAGGAAUUGCGCUCAAAACUACCAUGCUCGAGGGAGAUAGAGGAAUGCGGAACUUACGGUGGAGCGGUGAAAUGCGUUGAUAUCGUAGGGAACACCGGUGGCGAAAGCGGCAUUCUGGAUCUCUUCUGACGCUGAUGCACGAAAGCUAGGGUAGCAAACGGGAUUAGAAACCCCG